GGUUUGCCGUUCGGCUUGUACCCAGUCGCGGCGCUCCCGUGAAUGAGACCGACAGGAACCGCGAAGCGCGCCGGCGGCCGCCCAGAUCCCCGCCGCGCAGCUUGCCGCCGCGUUCGACGAGGGAGCCGGGGCAAGCAAGCCUGCCUAUAGCAUAUAGAGAGAAUUGUUCGGGGAUGCGGGCCAGUGGCGCGGCAACGUCGCGGGUAGUGCAGCGGACGCGCAUCUCUACGACGACCCGGAUGCCGCCGCCAUCCCGGCGCGCCUCGACCUCCCGCUUCCACGGCGAGAAGGUCGACGCUCAUGCGCCUCCACGCCCUCAUCUAGCAGGGCUUCUACGUCGCUCACCUCUUCCCGCAGCGCAGGCGGUCAAGAACGUGCCGGCAUGGUUGAUCGAGGUGAAGAAGCUCGUCCACCUUUACCUGUUCCACCACGCCGAGAAGUUUAAAUCGGCGUGUAAGUGAAGGUGUAUUUCUCCUUCACGCCUUCGACGUCGACCCCCUUCCCCUUGGUGUAGUACUGUUUAAUCAGGCAGACCCGUUCUGGCCCACAAUGCCAUUUCUCUUUUUCUAAAAUCCAGGAAAUCAAUAUCUUUCAAAAGAUUCAAGGACGUUCGAGGAGUGACCAAAACCAUUGAAGACUUUGCUGAGCGAGGCAAGCAAUCUACUUUGAUCAUUUUGAACCCAUAUUUGCAUUACACUUAUAAUUAAUUUUCAUGCAUAAAGUAUUAUUUACUAGUAUUGCUAUGUUAAGUAAAUUAGCUAGGGUUUAGCUAUGCCAUAUGUCCUUAAUAUUGAACACCCUUUGACAUUCUUAUGCUAAGUUAAUUAGCUAGGGUUUAGCUAUCCUCUAUGUGCUUAUUAUUGACACCCUCCUUUGACAUUCUUAAAACCCCUCCUUUCUAACCAUGUGGUGGUCACAAAUAAAUGUGCGUCAUAUGUGCAAGUUUAAUAGUAAUGCUUAGCCAUGCUAGUCGUGUAAAUCAUAGGACUUGGGAAGAAUCUUUAUUACUCAUAAAUGUUUUACAAAAACCCAAGGGUGUCACUAAUGCCCAUGGGAUGAUUCUGAAAAUACGGUUUUACAAAAUGGAGAUGAAGUGGAGAUUUAGUUAGGUGAUUGUAAUCUUGACGAGAUAGUCAAAGAUGUUCGGUGGAUUAUGAAAAUUUAUGUCUAGUAAAUGAGCACGGUGGUUAUUAUAUUGGUGGAUAAAUGGAUCUUUAAUAAACUUGAAGCAAUUUGGGUUUAGUUAGGCGAUUAUGAUCUUGAACCAAAUUUUAUGGUGGAUUACGAGAUUUUGAUGCAGUUCAUUGUGAUCUUGAGGAGAUAGUCAAAGAUGUUUGGUGGAUUAAUUAAUCUUGGAUAAUUUGGAUUUAGUUAGGUGAUUGUGAUAUUGAACCGUGUUUCAUGAUGGAUUAUGAGAUUUUAGGUGGAUUUAGUUACGUGAUUUAAUCUUGAGAAGAUAGUCUAAAAUGUCCGGUUGAUUAUGAGAGUUUAGGUAUGGUAGAUGAGCAUGAUGAUUAUUAUAUUGGUGGAUAAAUAGAUCUUUAAUUUUGUUUGGAACAUUUUGGAUUUAGUUAAGUGAUUGUGAUCUUAAACCAAAUUUUACGGUGGAUUAUGAGGUUUUGGUUGGAAUUAGUUAGGUGAGUGUGAUCUUGACGAGCUAGUAAAAAAUGUUUGGUGGAUUAUGUGAAUUUAGGUCUAGUAGGUGAGCAUGGUGGUAGUUAUAUCGGUUAAGUAAGUAAAUUUUUAGUAAACUUGAGAAAAUUUGAAUUUAGUUAGGAAAUUGUGAUCUUGAACCAAAUUUCAUGGGGGAUUAUGAGAUUUUAGAUGGAUUUAGUCAGUUGAUUGUGAUCUCGAGGAGAUACUCAAAGAUUUUUGAUGGAUUAAUUAACCUGGAACAAUUUGAAUUUAGUUAGGUUAUUGUGAUAUUGAACCGAAUUCCAUGAUGAUUUAUGUGAUUUUAGGUGGAUUUAGUUAAGUUAUUAUGAUCUUGAGAAGAUGGUCAAAGAUGUUAGGUGGAUCUUAAGAUUUUAGGUCUAGUACAUGAGCAUGGUGACUAUUGUAUUGGUGGAUAAAUAGACCUUUAAUUUAGUUUGAAACAAUUUGAAUUUAGUUAGAUGAUUGUGAUCUUUUAAGCAAAUUCACGAUGGAUUUUGAUGUUUCGGCUAGAUUUAGUUAGGUGAUUGUGAUCCUGACGCGAUAAUCAAAGAUGCUCGAUGGAUUAUGUGAGAAUUUAUGUCUAGUAAGUGAGCAAGGUGGUUAUUGUAUUGGUGGCUCAAUAGAUUUUUAACAAAUUUGGAUUUAGUUAGGCGACUGUGAUUUUGAACCAAAUUUCAUGGUGAAUUACAGGAUUUUAAAUGGAUUUAAUUAGUUGAUUGAGAUCUUGAGGAGAUAGUCCAAGAUGUUCGGUUGAUUAAUUAAUCUUUUUUUAACACAGUACAUACGCAAGCGCUCAUACAAACGAGCAUACACUCAUCCCUAUGAACGCGCACACACACACCCUAUCCCUAUGAGCACCUUCGAGAGACCGAGCCAGGAUAUCGUCUUGAGAUUUUACGAAGAUGCCGUAGGUGCCUUUUAGUCGACGGGAACAAUUUGAAGUUAGUUCGGUGAUUGUGAUAUUGAACCAAAUUUCUCGGUGAUUUAUUUGAUUUGAAGUGGAUUUAGUUAGGUGAUUGUGUUUUGAGAAGAUAGUCAAAAUGCUCGAUGGAUUAUGAGAUUUUAGCUAUGGUAAAUGAGCAUGGUGAUUAUUAUAUUGGUAGAUAAAAAAAUGUUUAAUUUAGUUUGGAUCAAUCUGGAUUUAGGUAGGUGAUUGUGAUCUUUUAACCAAAUUUUACAAUGGAUUAUGAGGUUUUGGUUGGAUUUAGUUAGGUGAUUGGGAUCUUGACGAGCUAGUAAAAGAUGUUCGGUAGAUUAUGUGAAUUUAGGUCUAGUAGGUGAGAAUUUUGGUUAUUAUAUUGGUGGAUAAAUGGAUUUUUAGAAAACUUGGAAAAAUUUGGAUUUAGUUAGGCGAUUGUGAUCUUGAACCAAAUUUUAUGGUGGAUUAUGAGAUUUCUGAUGGAUUAGUUUGUUGAUUGUGAUCUGAGGAGAUAGCUAAAGAUAUUCGGUGUAUUAAUUAAUCUUUAACAAUUUGGAUUUAGUUAGGUGAUUGUGAUAUUGACUAAUUUCUCUGUGAUUUAUGAGAUUUCAGUUGGAUUUAUUUAGGUGAUUGUCUCUUGAGAAAAUAAUCAAGGAUGUUUGGUGGAUUAUGAGAUUUUAGGUCUAAUAACUGAGCAUGGUGAUUAUCAUAUUGGUGGAUACACAAAUAUUUAAUUUAGUUUGAAACUGUUUGGAUUUAAUUCGGCGGUUGUGAUCUUUUAAUAACCUAAUUUUACGGUGGAUUAUAUGGUUUUGGUUGGAUUUAGUUAUGUGAUUGUGAUUUUGACAAGCUAGUAAAAGAUGUUCGGUGGAUUAUGUGAAUUUAGGUCUAGUAGGUGAGCAUGUUGAUUACUAUAUUGGUUGGAUAGAGAUGAGGGCCACACAAGUGACUCAAGGCGAUGAUGCCACUAGUGAAAAUAGUUGGUAAACAAGGCAAAGAGGAGAGAAUGGGGAUAGUGGCAGCAAAUGGACUUUGAUCCAGCAUCCCACGUGCCUGUGCACUCUUCGUUCCCCGCUGUUCGGCUUGGUGUUCUUGUCCUGUUUGCGGAUUUUGUGUCACGCACUUGAUUAAGCAUCGCACGUUCUCCUAAUGUGUGCCCUUGGCCUUGACGAUAGGUAGCGCCGUGUUCUCGGGCGCGUCCCUUGGGUAAAAUUCAGGUAUGCGUCGAUUUUCCGAGCUCUUGCUCACCAUUGGUGGUACUUAAGCGUGUGGUCAUGGUGUCGCCCAACAAGGGAACACGGGAUGUGGGAUCAAGACAGCACACAUAGCAACCCGUCACCAGGCAACGGACGCCCGUCCGGACUUUCUGGGCGCGGAGGUGGACACAAAGGUGGAUGUUGAGCUCCAUAGCAGUCUCAAUAGUGUGCUUAUCAGUAAGAGCAACACAAGCAAGAAGAUCCUGGAUAUACUCCUCUUAGGAAAUAAAGAAGGCAUUAGAGGUAGAAGAAACCUCAAUCUCAAGGAAGUAGUGACUUCUUUAGUAAAUACGGAGCAAUUUGGAUUUAGUCAGGUGAUUGUGAUCUUAAACAAAUUUCAUGGUGGAUUACGAGAUCUUUCAAUGGAUUUAAUUGAUUGUGAUCUUCAGGAGAUAGUCAAAGAUGUUCGGUGCAUUAAUUAAUCUUGAACAAUAUGGUUUUAGUUAGGUGAUUGUGAUAUUGAACCAAAAUUCUCUAUGAUUUAUGAGAUUUUAGUUGGUUUUAGUUAGGUGAUUGUGUCUUGAGCUGAUAAUCAAAGAUGUUUUGUGGAUCAUGAGAUUUUAGGUCUAGUAGAGGAGCAUGGUGAUUAUUGUAUUGGUGGAUAAAUAUAUAUAUUUAAAUUAAUUUGGAACAAUUCGAAUUUGGUCAGGUGAUUUUGAUUUUUUAGCCUAAUUUUAUGAUGGAUUAUAAGGUUCUUGUUGGAUUCAGUUACGUGAUCGUGAUUUUGACGAGGUAGUAAAAGAUGUUCGAUGAAUUAUGUGAAAUUAGGUCUAGUAGGUGAGCAUGCUGAUUAUUAUAUUAGUGGAUAAAUGAAUUUUUAAUAAAUUUGGAACAAUUUGGAUUUAGUUAGACGAUUGUGACCUUGAACCAAAUUAUAUGGUGGAUUAUGAUAUUUUUACGGACUAGUUAGUUGAUUCUGAUCUUGAGAAGAUAUUCAAAGAUGGUUGGAUUAAUUAAUCUUGAAUAAUUUGGAUUUAGUUAGGUGAUUGUGAUAUUGAACCGAAUUUUACGCCGGAUUAUGAAAUUUUAGGUGGAUUUAGUUAGGUGAUUGUGUCUUGAGAAUUGUCAAAGAUGUUUGCUCGACUAUGAGAUUUUAGGUUUAGUAGAUGAGAAUGGUGAUUAUUAUAUUGGUGCAUAAAAUAGAUCUUUAAUUUAGUUUGGAAUAAUUUUGAUUUAGUUAGGUGAUUGCUAUUUUUUCAAACAAAUUCACGGUGGAUUUUGAGGUUUUGUUGGAUUUAGUUAGGUGAUUGUGAUCUCGACGAGUUAGUAAAAGAUGUCUGGUGAAUUAUGUUAACUUAGGUCUAGUAAGUGAGCAUGGUGGUUAUUAUAUUGGUGGAUAAAUGGUCAUUUAGUAAACAUGGAGCAAUUUGGAUGUAGUUAGGCUAUUAUGAUCUUGAAUAAAUUUCAUAGUGGAUUACAAGAUUUUCGAUAGAUUUAGUUAGUAGAUUGUGAUCUUGGGGAGAUGUCAAAGAUGUUUGGUGGAUUAAUUAAUCUUAAACAAUUUGGAGUUGGUAAUGAUUGCGAUAUUGAACCAAAUUUCUCUGUGAUUUAUGAGAUUUUAGUUGGAUUUAGUUAGGUGAUUGUGUCUUGAUAUGAUAAUCAAAGAUAUUUGGUGGAUUAUGGAUUUUAGGUCUAAUAACCGAGCAUGGCGAUUAUUAUAUUGAUGGAUGAGCAUAUAUUUAAUUUAGUUUGAAACGGUUUGGAUUUAGUUAGGUGAUUGUGAUUUUGACAAGCUAGUAAAAGAUGUUCGGUGGAUUAUGUGAAUUUAGGUCUAGUAGGUGAGUAUGUUGAUUAUUAUAUUGGUGGAUAGAGAUGAGGGCCACACAAGUGACUCAAGGCAAUGAUGCCACUAUUGAAAAUAACUGGUAAACAAGGAAAAUGAGGAGAGAAUGGGGGUAGUGGCAGCAGAUGGACUUUGAUCCAGCAUCCCACGUGCAUCUGCACUCUCCAUUCCCCGUUGUUCGGCUUGGUGUUCUUGUCCUGUUUGCGGAUUUUGUGUCACGCACUUGAUUAAGCAUCCCACGUUCUCCUAAUGUGCGUCCUUGGUGUUGACGAUAGGUAGCGCCGUGUUCUCGGGCGUGUCCCGCGGGUAAAAUUCAGGUAUGCGUCGAUUGUCUAAGCUCUUGCUCGCCAUUGGUGGUGUUUGAGUGUGCGAUCAUGGUGUCGCCCAGCAAGGGAACACGGGAUGUGGGAUCAAGACAGCACACAUAGCAACCCGUGACCAGGCAACGUCGCCCGUCCGGACUUUCAGGAAGCGGAGGUGGACACAAAGAUGGAUGUUGAGCUCCAUAGCAGUCUCAAUAGUGUGCUCAUCAGUACGAGCAACACGAGCAAGAAGAUCCUGGAUAUACUACUCUUAGGAAAUAAAGAAGGCAUUAGAGGUAGAGGAAACCUCAAUCUCAAGGAAGUAGCGACUUCUUUAGUGAACAUGGAGCAAUUUGGAUUUAGUCAGGCGAUUGUGAUCUUGAACUAAUUUCAUGGUGGAUUACGAGAUUUUUCAAUGGAUUUAGUUGAUUGUGAUCUUGAGGAGAUAGUCAAAGAUGUUCGGUGUAUUAAUUAAUCUUGAACAAUAUGGAUUUAGUUAUGUGAUUGUGAUAUUGAACCAAAUUUCUCUGUGAUUUAUGAGAUUUUAGUUGGAUUUAGUUAGGUGAUUGUGUCCUAAGUUGAUAAUCAAAGAUGUUGUGGAUCAUGAGAUUUUAGGUCUAGUAGAAGAGGAUGGUGAUUAUUGUAUUGGUGGAUAAAUAGAUAUUUAAAUUAAUUUGAAACAAUUUGAAUUGGUCAGGUGAUUGUGAUCUUUUAACCUAAUUUUACGAUGGAUUAUAAGGUUUUGGUUGGAUUUAGUCAGGUGAUUGUGAUUUUCACAAGGUAGUAAAAGAUGUUCGAUGAAUUAUGUAAAUUUAGGUCUAGUAGCUGAGCAUGUUGAUUAUAUAUUGGUGGAUAAAUAAAUUUUUGAUAAAUUUGGAACAAUUUGGAUUUAGUUAGGCGAUUGUGACCUUGAACCAUAUUUUAUGGUGGAUUAUGAGAUUUUUAUGGAUUAGUUAGUUGAUUCUGAUCUUGAGAACAUAUUCAAUUGGAUUAAUUAAUCUUGAAUCAUUUGGAUUUGGUUAGGUGAUUGUGAUACUGAACCGAAUUUUACGCUGGAUUAUGAGAUUUAAGGUGGAUUUAGUUAGGUGAUUGUGUCAUGAGAAUAUAGUCAAAGAUGUUUGCUGGACUAUGAGAUUUUUGGUUUAGUAGAUGAGAAUGGUGAUUAUUAUAUUGGUGGAUAAAAUAGAUAUUUAAUUUAGUUUGGAACAAUUUUGAUUUAGUUAGGUGAUUAUUAUUUUUCUAACAAAUUCACGGUGGAUUUUGAGGUUUUGUUGGAUUUAGUUAGGUGAUUGUGUCUUGACCUAAUAAUCAAAGAUGUUUUGUGGAUCAUGAGAUUUUAGGUCUAGUAGAGGAGCAUGGUGAUUAUUGUAUUGGUGGAUAAAUAGAUAUUUAAAUUAAUUUGGAACAAUUCGAAUUUGGUCAGUGAUUUUGAUUUUUUAGCCUAAUUUUAUGUUGGAUUAUAAGGUUCUUGUUGGAUUUAGUCACGUGAUUGUGAUUUUGACGAGUUAGUAAAAGAUGUUCGAUGAAUUAUGUGAAUUUGGGUCUAGUAGGUGAGCAUGCUGAUUAUUAUAUUAGUGGAUAAAUGAAUUUUUAAUAAAUUUGGAACAAUUUGGAUUUAGUUAGACGAUUGUGACCUUGAACCAAAUUAUAUGGUGGAUUAUGAUAUUUUUAUGGACUAGUUAGUUGAUUCUGAUCUUGAGAAGAUAUUCAAAGAUGGUUGGAUUAAUUAAUCUUGAAUAACUUGGAUUUAGUUAGGUGAUUGUGAUAUUGAACCGAAUUUUACGCCGGAUUAUGAAAUUUUAGGUGGAUUUAGUUAGGUGAUUGCGUCUUGAGAAUAGUUAAAGAUGUUUGCUGGACUAUGAGAUUUUAAGUUUAGUAGACGAGAAUGGUGAUUAUUAUAUUGAUGGAUAAAACAGAUCUUUAAUUUAGUUUGGAACAAUUUUGAUUUAGUUAGGUUAUUGCUAUUUUUUCAAACAAAUUCACGGUGGAUUUUGAGGUUUUGUUGGAUUUAGUUAGGUGAUUGUGAUCUCGACGAGUUAGUCAAAGAUGUUUGGUGAAUUAUGUUAACUUAGGUCUAGUAAGUGAGCAUGGUGGUUAUUAUAUUGGUGGAUAAAUGGUCCUUUAGUAAACAUGGAGCAAUUUGGAUGUAGUUACGCUAUUAUGAUCUUGAAUAAAUUUCAUAGUGGAUUAUAAGAUUUUCAAUAGAUUUAGUUAGUAGAUUGUGAUCUUGGGGAGAUGUCAAAGAUGUUUGGUGGAUUAAUUAAUCUUAAACAAUUUGGAGUUGGUAGAUGAUUGCGAUAUUGAACCAAAUUUCUCUGUGAUUUAUGAGAUUUUAGUUGGAUUUAGUUAGGUGAUUGUGUCUUGAGAUGAUAAUCAAAGAUAUUUGAUGGAUUAUGGAUUUUAGGUCUAAUAACUGAGCAUGUCGAUUAUUAUACUGGUGGAUGAACAUAUAUUUAAUUUAGUUUGAAAUGAUUUGGAUUUAGUUAGGUGAUUGUGAUUCUGACAAGCUUGUAAAAGAUGUUCGGUGGAUUAUGUGAAUUUAGGUCUAGUAGGUGAGCAUAUUGAUUAUUAUAUUGGUGGAUAGAGAUGAGGGCCACACAAGUGACUCAAGGCAAUGAUGCCACUACUGAAAAUAACUGGUAAACAAGGAAAAUGAGGAGAGAAUGGGGGUAGUGGCAGCAGAUGGACUUUGAUCCAGCAUCCCACGUGCAUGUGCACUCUCCGUUUCUCGUUGUCCGGCUUGGUGUUCUUGUUCUGUUUGCAGAUUUUGUGUCACGCACUUGAUUAAGCAUCCCACGUUCUCCUAAUGUGUGUCCUUGGCCUUGACGAUAGGUAGCGCCGUGUUCUCGGGUGUGUCCCGUGGGUAAAAUUCAGGUAUGCGCCGAUUGUCUAAGCUCUUGCUCGCCAUUGGUGGUGCUUGAGCGUGCGGUCAUGGUGUCGCGCAGCAAGGGAACACGGGAUGUGGGAUCAAGACAGCACACAUAGCAACCCGUGACCAGGCAACGGAUGCCCGUCCGGACUUUCAGGAAGCGGAGGUGGACACAAAGAUGGAUGUUGAGCUCUAUAGCAGUCUCAAUAGUGUGCUUAUCAGUACAAGCAACACGAGCAAAAAGAUCCUGGAUAUACUCCUCUUAGGAAAUAAAGAAGGCAUUAGAGGUAGAGGAAACCUCAAUCUCAAGGAAGUAGCGACUUUUUUAGUAAAACAUGGAGCAAUUUGGAUUUAGUUAGGCGAUUGUGAUCUUGAACUAAUUUCAAGGUGGAUUACGAGAUUUUUCAAUGCAUUUAGUUGAUUGUGAUCUUGAGGAGAUAGUCAAAGAUGUUCGGUGUAUUAAUUAAUCUUGAACAAUAUGGAUUUAGUUAUGUGAUUGUGAUAUUGAACCAAAUUUCUCUGUGAUUUAUGAGAUUUUAGUUGGAUUUAGUUAGGUGAUCGUGUCUUGAGAUGAUAAUCAAAUAUGUUGUGGAUCAUGAGAUUUUAGGUCUAGUAGAGGAGGAUUGUGAUUAUUGUAUUGGUGGAUAAAUAGAUAUUUAAAUUAAUUUGAAACAAUUUGAAUUGGUGAGGUGAUUGUGAUCUUUUAACCUAAUUUUACGAUGGAUUAUAUGGUGCUUGUUGGAUUUAGUCAGGUGAUUGUGAUUUUGACGAGGUAGUAAAAGAUGUUCGAUGAAUUUUGUAAAUUUAGGUCUAGUAGGUGAGCAUGUUGAUUAUAUAUUGGUGGUUAAAUGAAUCUUUAAUAAAUUUGAAACAAUUUGGAUUUAGUUAGGCGAUUGUGACCUUGAACCAUAUUUUAUGGUGGAUUAUGAGAUUUUUAUGGAUUAGUUAGUUGAUUCUGAUCUUGAGAACAUAUUCAAAUAUGUUUGGAUUAAUUAAUCUUGAAUCAUUUGGAUUUGGUUAGGUGAUUGUGAUACUGAACCGAAUUUUACACCGGAUUAUGAAAUUUUAGGUGGAUUUAGUUAGGUGAUUGUGUCUUGAGAAUAGUCAAAGAUGUUUGCUGGAUUAUGAGAUUUUAGGUUUAGUAGAUGAGAAUGGUGAUUAUUAUAUUGGUGGAUAAAAUAGAUCUUUAAUUUAGUUUGGAACAAUUUUGAUUUAGUUAGGUGAUUGCUAUUUUUUCAAACAAAUUCAUGAUGGAUUUUGAGGUUUUGUUGGAUUUAGUUAGGUGAUUGUGAUCUCGACGAGUUAGUCAAAGAUGUUUGGUGAAUUAUGUUAACUUAGGUCUAGUAAGUGAGCGUGGUGGUUAUUAUAUUGGUGGAUAAAUGGUCGUUUAGUAAACAUGGAGCAAUUUGGAUGUAGUUAGGCUAUUAUGAUCUUGAAUAAAUUUCAUAGUGGAUUACAAGAUUUUCGAUAGAUUUAGUUAGUAGAUUGUGAUCUUGGGGAGAUGUCAAAGAUGUUUGGUGGAUUAAUUAAUCUUAAACAAUUUGGAGUUGGUAGAUGAUUGCGAUAUUGAACCAAAUUUCUCUGUGAUUUAUGAGAUUUUUGUUGGAUUUAGUUAGGUGAUUGUGUCUUGAGAUGAUAAUCAGAGAUAUUUGGUGGAUUAUGGAUUUUAGGUCUAAUAACUGAGCAUGGCGAUUAUUAUACUGGUGGAUGAACAUAUAUUUAAUUUAGUUUGAAACGAUUUGGAUUUAGUUAGGUGAUUGUGAUUUUGACAAGCUAGUAAAAGAUGUUCGGUGGAUUAUGUGAAUUUAGGUCUAGUAGGUGAGCAUGUUGAUUAUUAUAUUGGUGGAUAGAGAUGAGGGCCACACAAGUGACUCAAGGCAAUGAUGCCACUACUGAAAAUAACUGGUAAACAAGGCAAAUGAGGAGAGAAUGGGGGUAGUUGCAGCAGAUGGACUUUGAUCCAGCAUCCCACGUGCAUGUGCACUCUCCGUUCCCCGUUGUCCGGCUUGGUGUUCUUGUCCUGUUUGCGGAUUUUGUGUCACACACUUGAUUAAGCAGCCCACGUUCUCCUAAUGUGCGUCCUUGGCCUUGACGAUAGGUAGCGCCGUGUUCUCGGGCAUGUCCCGUGGGUAAAAUUCAGGUAUGUGUCGAUUGUCUAAGCUCUUGCUCGCCAUUGGUGGUGCUUGAGCGUGCGGUCAUGGUGUCGCCCAGGAAGGGAACACGGGAUGUGGGAUCAAGACAGCACACAUAGCAACCCGUGACCAGGCAACGGACGCCCGUCCGGACUUUCAGGAAGUCCGGACUUUCAGGAAGCGGAGGUGGACACAAAGAUGGAUGUUGAGCUCCAUAGCAGUCUCAAUAGUGUGCUCAUCAGUACGAGCAACACGAGCAAGAAGAUCCUGAAUAUACUCCUCUUAGGAAAUAAAGAAGGCAUUAGAGGUAGAGGAGACCUCAAUCUCAAGGAAGUAGCGACUUCUUUAGUAAACAUGGAGCAAUUUGGAUUUAGUUAGGCGAUUGUGAUCUUGAACUAAUUUCAUGGUGGAUUACGAGAUUUUUCAAUGGAUUUAGUUGAUUGUGAUCUUGAGGAGAUAGUCAAAGAUGUUUGGUGUAUUAAUUAAUCUUGAACAAUAUGGAUUUAGUUAUGUGAUUGUGAUAUUGAACCAAAUUUCUCUGUGAUUUAUGAGAUUUUAGUUGGAUUUAGUUUGGUGAUUGUGUCUUGAGAUGAUAAUCAAAGAUGUUUUGUGGAUCAUGAGAUUUUAGGUCUAGUAGAGGAGGUUGGUGAUUAUUGUAUUGGUGGAUAAAUAGAUAUUUAAAUUAAUUUGAAACAAUUUGAAUUGGUCAAGUGAUUGUGAUUUUUUAGCCUAAUUUUACGAUGGAUUAUAAGGUUCUUGUUGGAUUUAGUUACGUGAUUGUGAUUUUGACGAGGUAGUAAAAGAUGUUCGAUGAAUUAUGUGAAAUUAGGUCUAGUAGGUGAGCAUGCUGAUUAUUAUAUUAGUGGAUAAAUGAAUCUUUAAUAAAUUUGGAACAAUUUGGAUUUAGUUAGACGAUUGUGACCUUGAACCAAAUUAUUUAGUUAGACGAUUUAGUUAGGUGAUUGUGUCUUGAGAAUUGUCAAAGAUGUUUGCUCGACUAUGAGAUUUUAAGUUUAGUAGAUGAGAAUGGUGAUUAUUAUAUUGGUGGAUAAAACAGAUCUUUAAUUUAGUUUGGAACAAUUUUGAUUUAGUUAGGUGAUUGCUAUUUUUUCAAACAAAUUCACGGUGGAUUUUGAGGUUUUGUUGGAUUUAGUUAGGUGAUUGUGAUCUCGACGAGUUAGUAAAAGAUGUCUGGUGAAUUAUGUUAACUUAGGUCUAGUAAGUGAGCGUGGUGGUUAUUAUAUUGGUGGAUAAAUGGGCCUUUAGUAAACAUGGAGCAAUUUGGAUGUAGUUAGGCUAUUGUGAUCUUGAAUAAAUUUCAUAGUGGAUUAUAAGAUUUUCAUUAGAUUUAGUUAGUAGAUUGUGAUCUUGGGAAGAUGUCCAAGAUGUUUGGUGGAUUAAUUAAUCUUAAACAAUUUGGAUUUGGUAGAUGAUUGCGAUAUUGAACCAAAUUUCUCUGUGAUUUAUGAGAUUUUAGUUGGAUUUAGUUAGGUGAUUGUGUCUUGAGAUGAUAAUCAAAGAUGUUGAUGGAUUAUGGAUUUUAGGUCUAAUAACUGAGCAUGGUGAUUAUUAUAUUGGUGGAUGAACAGAUAUUUAAUUUAGUUUGAAAUGAUUUGGAUUUAAUUUGGUGAUUAUGAUCUUUUAACCUAAUUUUACGGUGGAUUAUAAGGUUUUGGUUGGAUUUGGUUAGCUGAUUGUGAUUUUGACAAGCUAGUAAAAGAUGUUUGGUGGAUUAUGUGAAUUUAGGUCUAGUAGGUGGGCAUGUUGAUUAUUGUAUUGGUGGAUAAAUAAUUAUUUAAUAAACUUAGAAAAUUUUGGAUUUAGUUAGGCGAUUGUCAUUUUGAACCAAAUUUUAUGCUGGAGUAUGAGAUUUUUGAUGGAUUAGUUAGUUGAUUGUGAUCUUGAAGAGAUAGUCAAAUAUGUUCGGUGUAUUAAUUAAUCUUGAACAAUUUCGAUUUAGUUAGGUGAUUGUGAUAUUGAACCAAAUUUCUCUGUGAUUUAUGAGAUGUUAGUUGGAUUUAGUUAGGAGAUUGUGUCUUGAGAAGAUAGUCAAAGACGUUUGGUGGAUUAUGUGAUUUUAGGUCUAAUAGAUGAUCAUGGUGAUUAUUAUUUUUGUGGAAAUGAAUCUUUACUAAAUUUGGAACAAUUUGGUUUUAGUUAGCCGACUGUGAUCUUUAACCAAAUUUUAUGGUGGAUUAUGAGAUUUAGUUUGGCUCCGCUCCACCUCUUCCUCAAGGAGCAUGUUUAGUCCGGUGGUGCGGCGGCUCGUGCGGCGUGCGGUGGCCUUGGAAGAUGGGCGCCGACACCUGCUGCUUGUGCACAAUGGUGACUUCACGCAUCUCCUGUGCCCCACAACCCUCUCCUUCCCGGCAUAGGAGGAGCAGGAGCAAGGAUGCCGAGGCGGUUCAGUCGCGAGGAAGAGUAGGAAGAUCAGGCAGAGAGGGUUUUACAUACCUCUUCCACACUGACAAGUCUUUGCUUUUCAGGAUUGCCAUGGGAGCUUUGGAUGGUGGUCUUGGUAUUCCACACAGUGACAAGAGAUUUGCUGGCUUCAAGAAGGAUAAGAAGUAGCCGGGCGCUGAGAUUCACCGCAAAUACAUCUAUGAAGGUCAUGUUGCUGACUACAUGAAGUCAAUAGCUGAUGAGGAACCUAAGAAGUACCAAACUCACUUCAGUGAGUACAUCAGGAAGAAUAUUGCGGCCGAUGACAUGGAAGCACUGUACAAGAAGGUUUAUGCUGCCAUUUGUGCUUAUCCUACCAUGGCAAGAUCAACUAAGGAACCUCCAAAGACGCACAAGAAUUGGAUAUAUCUUGCUGUUUAUUAAAGUCAAACAACUGAUAAUGAAGUUUAUCAAUAUAUAGUAAUGGGUAUAAAUGUUUCCUCAUACUCAUGUAGUCCGUUCAUUCCUAAACUAUAUGUUCUUCUUUUGUUAAAACCUUAAAAUAUUAAGAUGUUACGGUAAAUAAAUUCCUUCAGAAUCAAUAAUAGAAAAGUUCUGCUA